GUUGUGGGGAAUGUUGUCUGGUUCGAGACCAUUCACUUGAAGCAUAAACAGUUGCCAACUGUAUGAUUUCGGACCAGGCUUCAUUCCCCCCAAU